rnacentral:rRNA from 1 species
UACGGGGGGGGCAAGCGUUGUUCGGAUUUACUGGGCGUAAAGGGCGCGUAGGCGGCGCGACAAGUCACUUGUGAAAUCUCCGGGCUUAACCCGGAGCGGCCAAGUGAUACUGUAGUGCUAGAGUGCGGAAGGGGCUACUGGAAUUCUCGGUGUAGCGGUGAAAUGCGUAGAUAUCGAGAGGAACACCUGCGGCGAAGGCGGGUAGCUGGGCCGACACUGACGCUGAGGCGCGAAAGCCAGGGGAGCGAACGGG